AGUUAUUAACUGGAGUAUGGUGGGGAUGACGUAAUUUCAUCAUGGCCCUUAGGACCAGGGCUAAACAGGUUAUACAAUGCCUUAUACAAAGAGAAGAGACCUCGCGAGAGCAAGCGGACCUCAUAAAGUAUGUCGUAGACCGGAUUGGAGUCAGCAACUCUAAUCCAUGAAGUCGUAAUAUCAAGAAAUCGAAGAUCAUAAAGAAACGGAGAUAAAGGUCCC
rnacentral:rRNA from 1 species